GAAGAAAAUAAGAGCUUUACAAAUUGUUGUUUAAGAUUCUAUCUACAUGGUCAUUAUUGUAGCUAUACAAAGUCAUUUCUUAAUAUAUUAUCUCCUUAGAAAAACAAGCUCUUUAUUUUUUGGUUGCAUUGAUUCUUUGAAUAAUAUUAAAUAAUGUGCUUAGAUUCUUUAUAAUAUGAGCACAAUUCUUCCUAAUAAUGUCAAAAAUUUUCUUAUUUAAUGAAAGAUUUAAAAAAUA
rnacentral:lncRNA from 1 species